GUUCAUAACCAACAAAUAUACGAGUGCACGCGAAUUGCUUCACUUAAAGUUUUAUAAAACUUCCUUGCAACUUUAAUGAAAAGUAGAAAAUAACAGUGUGCAAUUUAAAAGCAUAAACAUAAAACAGUUUUGAAAUGGUGGAAGCGGGGCAAAAUGUUUCAAUCGAUAAUCUAGACAAGGAUCAAAUGAAAACGUUUUCUGAUUUUCUGAUGUCUUACAAUAAACUAUCGGAAAUGUGUUUCUCAGAUUGUGUUCGCGACUUUACUUCGCGUGUGGUCAAAGACAAUGAGGAGCGCUGUGCACUUAAUUGUAUGGAGAAGUACCUGAAAAUGAAUCAACGCAUUUCACAGCGUUUCCAAGAGUUUCAAAUGAUUGCCAAUGAAAACGCAAUAGCGAUGGCGCAAAAGACUGGGAAACUUUAACGCAUUCCAACAUGCACCUUUUGAUCGAUAAUAAGCACAGAUGAACACUGACAUAUUAAACCAUGUAUACACCAAAUUGAGCAAGUGCCCAGACGCUGGCAAAAUAGCAGAUUAGCUUAAACAACAGUUGUUGCAACAGGGUGCCAGACCACUUGCUCAAUUUAGGGGAUACCACGAGUGUUUUCUAAAAGUGGGACUCGUCACCAUGUUUCGAGUUUCCUCACGUUACUACCUACUACAAAAAAUUAAAUAAAUA
rnacentral:misc_RNA from 1 species